AAUAAUGUUUAUUUCAUGAUUAGUCUACAUUCAAAACAAAAUACAGUCAUUUUACAAUGUAAGAAAAUAUUGAAAGAAAAAAAAGAAAAUCGUGACAUGAAACAAACAGAAAUCAAAUUUUCUCGAAGGUGAGCUCCCGGAGGAUUAAACCUUGUGUGAGAAUCAAAAAAAAAAAAAAGUACAAGUUUAAAAGUCUUGACGUAAUUUCCACGAAUUCUCAACAGACGGCAGAUUAAAGGUGUUCUUUAUGUCGAUUAUACUGGCUAUGAAGUGUCUUGACUGACUCAGGAUCCAACUUUUUAUUUUCUUCUUAAAUGCAGUCAUUAUACUAGGAAUCUUCAAAACUUGAGGGAUACCAUUAUAAACUCGAGGCGCAAGGAACAGGUGUGAUCUCUGACCCUUCGUCCCACAUGAGGUAGGCAAUAAUAU